rnacentral:rRNA from 1 species
CGUAAAGCGAGCGCAGACGGUUUAUUAAGUCUGAUGUGAAAUCCCGAGGCCCAACCUCGGAACUGCAUUGGAAACUGAUUUACUUGAGUGCGAUAGAGGCAAGUGGAACUCCAUGUGUAGCGGUGAAAUGCGUAGAUAUGUGGAAGAACACCAGUGGCGAAAGCGGCUUGCUAGAUCGUAACUGACGUUGAGGCUCGAAAGUAUGGGUAGCAAACGGGAUUAGAUACCCCGGUAGUCCAUACCGUAAACGAUGGGUGCUAGUUGUUAAGAGGUUUCCGCCUCCUAGUGACGUAGCAAACGCAUUAAGCACCCCGCCUGAGGAGUACGGCCGCAAGGCUAAAACUUAAAGGAAUUGACGGGGACCCGCACAAGCGGUGGAGCAUGUGGUUUAAUUCGAAGAUACGCGAAAAACCUUACCAGGUCUUGACAUACCAAUGAUCGCUUUUGUAAUGAAAGCUUUUCUUCGGAACAUUGGAUACAGGUGGUGCAUGGUCGUCGUCAGCUCGUGUCGUGAGAUGUUGGGUUAAGUCCCGCAACGAGCGCAACCCUUGUUAUUAGUUGCCAGCAUUUAGUUGGGCACUCUAAUGAGACUGCCGGUGAUAAACCGGAGGAAGGUGGGG